AGUGGCCCUGCGCCGAAAAUUCAACGGGGCUAAGCAUGAUACCGAAGCUGCGGAUUUGUAUUUCAGAUACAAGUGGUAGGGGAGCAUUCCUAACGGGUAGAAGUCGUACCGGAAGGAGCGGUGGACUGUUAGGAAGAGAGAAUGCUGGCAUAAGUAAGCGAGAAGGCAGGUGAGAAUCCUGCCCGCCGUAAACCUGAGGUUUCCUGGGGAAGGCUCGUCCGCCCAGGGUAAGCCGGGACCUAAGCCGAGGCCUAAAGGCGUAGGCGAUGGACAACUGGUUGAGAAUCCAGUGCCACCUAAAACCGCUAUGAGCAAUGGGGUGACGCAGGAGGAUAGGUGAAGCGCACGACUGGAAGAGUGCGUCCAAGCAUGUAGGAGGCAGAAUAGGCAAAUCCGUUCUGCGCAACUCCGAGGUGUGAUGGGGAGGGAAACGAAGUACCGAAGUCACUGACUCCAAACUGCCAAGAAAAGCCUCUAGCCAGGUCAGGGUGCCCGUACCGAAAACCGACACAGGUAGGUGAGGAGAGAAUCCUAAGGCGCGCGAGAGAACCCUCGUUAAGGAACUCGGCAAAAUGACCCCGUAACUUCGGGAGAAGGGGUGCUUUGUUAGAGUGAGUAUAUAAACAUGUACGAGCUUGAGAGAGCCGCAGCGAAAUGGCCCAGGCGACUGUUUACCAAAAACACAGGUCUCUGCUAAAUCGAAAGAUGAUGUAUAGAGGCUGACGCCUGCCCGGUGCUGGAAGGUUAAGGGGAAUGCUAAGCGGCAACGCGAAGGUGUGAACCGAAGCCCCAGUGAACGGCGGCCGUAACUAUAACGGUCCUAAGGUAGCGAAAUUCCUUGUCUGGUAAGUUCAGACCCGCACGAAAGGCGUAACGAUCUGGGCGCUGUCUCGACGAGGGGCUCGGUGAAAUUGUAAUACCGGUGAAGAUGCCGGUUACCUGCGAUAGGACAGAAAGACCCCGUGGAGCUUUACUGUAGCUUGAUAUUGGAUUUUGGUAGUUGAUGUACAGGAUAGGUGGGAGACUAAGAAAGCAGGUCGCAAGGCUUGCUGGAGUCAAUGGUGGGAUACCACUCUUGAAUUGCUGAAAUUCUAACCUUGUCCCGUAAACCGGGUCAGGGACAGUGUCAGGCGGGCAGUUUGACUGGGGCGGUCGCCUCCCAAAGAGUAACGGAGGCGCCCAAAGGUUCCCUCAGCGCGGAUGGAAAUCGCGCGAAGAGUGUAAAGGCAUAAGGGAGCUUGACU
rnacentral:rRNA from 1 species